rnacentral:lncRNA from 1 species
AGGGAGUCCAACAAUGAACGGGAUUUAUUCAAACUGCCAGCCAUAAAUUAGUUGAAAGGAUCGGCUUUAUUAUGCAUGAUAGAAUUCAAUCAAUCAAGAGACUCUUCUUCUUGAGUAGCUUGUGAGGUAUGAUGGGCUAAGCAAAAGACAGUCAGUUUAAAGAGAAAACUCCAUAUAUAACCACCUUCAUAAAGCAUAAGAUGAUACUAUCAUAAGUAGCCUAUCAAUCAAAUAACACCAUUUGAUUCCUACAUCACAAGCUCUGAAUGCUUAUAAAUAAGUAGGUAAGCUAUCAUAAACCUAAUGGGAACAUCAACACAAAUGAUGUUCUGUACAAAUGCUUCAUUGCAAUUUCACCAUGUUCUUCAUAUAUGAAGAACCAAAUCAAUAAUCAGAUGCCACAAUGACCUUUUAUAGAGUUUGCCGAAUUGGAAGUUACAUGCAUGAAUUAGACAAACCUUGGCAAACCUUCAGGAGUCCUCUCUUCAGCCAAUUGCUCCAGUUGCUCUCUUAAAGUGGCCACAUACUAAAUAUUACAAUCACAAACAAAACAAUGAAUUUCUUAUUUUUCAAUAAAUAAAAAAAAUUCAAACCAAAUCCAAUUGACAGUAAAUCAGGUAAUCAAAAAAACACACUAGAUGGUCAAAAAUAGCUUGAAGAAUCAAGAACUAUAUUCUCACUAAACUGUCCCUACAUUAAUCAACAAAAGAUAUAAAUAUAUGCUUGAUUGGAAAUGAUGAACAUAAUGUAUGAGUGAAUAAUUAUGAAGAUCAUACAUGUAUAAGCUUUCCCUGAUUUUGUUGCUGCGGAGCUGUUGCAAGUAACCUUCUCAAAUUCACUUCAGUUUUGCUCAAGCCCAUCACGAAUCCAAAGCACGUAUAGUUAAAAGACCAACUGAGAUAAACAGCAGGAUAAUAGCUGAUUAUUAAAAGGUAAAUUACUAAAAUCAAUCAGUCUGUACAAAAUUAUUAUGGUAGAUGAACAUCCAUCACAGACUUGGAGGAUUAGUCAUUGACUUUAAAAUCAAGUCAUAAGUUCACUAGUCAAAUUAAACUUCAAGUUUACCAGGAACAGAACAUGUAAACAUCAAAUUCCAAUAGUUAGAUUUUGUUUCGACAUGAUCAUGAAUUCAUGAUUAAAUCAUAACUAGUGUUUGUUAUGGAUAAGAAAGUUCACUACAAGUAAUGCACUUUAGAAUUCCAUAAAUAAGGUUAAGUAAUUUAAUGAGUUCCAACAGUAUUAAGUUAGAUUUUAAUGAGGAAAUUAUUAAAAAUAGUAAUUAGCAUCUAGCAAAAUCAAACAGUGCAGUUAAAAAGUUAUGUAGCUAAUAUGCAAAUCCCUAAUUUUUACCCAACCCACAAAGUAUGCACCGAAAAAAGGAGAAAAGUAAAAGUUUUAAGGCCUUGAUUACUUUUCCCCUAUUCCUUCAGUCACAUAAAGAUUUCUGAGAACCUAGUGUGGCUUUUUUUCACUUGUUGUAUUCAGACUCUGAAUACAACUAGGGCGGAGCAUUUGGGCAGUUCGGUCCCAAACUGAACUGAACCGAAAAAACCGAAAACUGAAUUUUGCUAAAUGCUAAAAAUCUAAACAGAACUGAAACGGUUUCAAUUUUUGGUUUGGGCUAAACCAAAUUCUUCUUUUGCAGCUUCUUGCGCCUGGAGCCAAAUGUAAAUAACACUUCCACCGUCCACGAAGAUAAUACAGCAGCUACCUUAUUUGGCAUCCACAAAGAGUUUACUACAUUCCUUUUUAGGACAUGACCACACACUCUCUCCUUAUAUUUCAACCUUACAAACACCUCUUAUUUACCAAAAACCACCCCUAACCCACACUCAAUUCAACCACAACCGCUCAUUUCUACAUGGUGGAACCCUUUAUCCUCUAAACACACAUCCACCAACUACUUUAUUAACACAUGUGCUGAACCCAAUUCUUUGUGGACAGAGGGAGUAACAAUUCGAUGCCAGAAUUUUACAUAAUUCAAUUCAUUUGAGCUACAACAAGCUCUUAUCUCUUAUAACUUAUUAAAGCCAAGUGCAGCCAUGUUUUGGAAUCUGCUCUGUUUGAGCUUGAAGAAAGAAGCUCCCGUUUCAUUUUUAAAAAAAAGAUUAGCUGAUGAAAUUUUGUAUAUAGAAUCAACUCAAAUAUAUUCUGACAUUUACUUUCAAAGAUGAUGAGCACAUCUUUUACCAAUGCAGAACAUUCCAUCCUUAUUGUGUUAAAACAGUUCUAAAGACAAACCUAAAUUUAAAGUGCAAUGCAUAUAACUACCUGAAUAUCUAUGCUUCCACAUAUCAUAGUAGCUCUUAUCUAUAUAUCUAUAAAAGCCAACGUUCAUCAUUCAUUGAAGGAAAGUUUAUUCUAGAAAGAGUAACAAGUUUGCCCCAAAUUACAGCGGAAAAAAAUAAUCAAAAAUCGAACUCUUAAAACAUACAAAUAGCCUGCCGGCUUACCUUAAAUACCGGAAAUUGGGCUUUGGAAACUGCUGCUUCUGCGGAGUCAGAGGACGGAGACGCCGAGGCCGAAGGAGGCGGGGCGGGGCGACAGGGAAGGCUAGGAGAGGGCGGCACAGUCGCGCACCGCUGGUUGCAGAGCUGGGACGGAGCGGGGGUAGUGAGAGAGAAAUUGGAUAGAGAGAUGAGGGUGGUCGUAGUGGUGGUCGACGGCGAAGAGACGCCGGAUCUUAGGAAUCGAGAGAACCGGUGAGUGAGAGACGGAGAGAUGCAGGAUAGAAAAGAAAAAGUAAAAGAGAAAAAGAAGAAAAAGAAGUUAAUUGCAUAUACACGAACUUUGCCACAAAUUUAUUUUCCCAUCAUCUUUAAAAAUUUUAUUUUUUAUCAAAUAUUUUGAUAUUUGUUCAAUUAUUUUAUGAUUUUUUUUUUAUAACCAAAAAAAUGAUGUAACAGUGACAUGAAUUUAAUUUUAAACGUAACACUAAAGUAGAAUAUAUAUGAAUUUUAAAUUAUAAGAUUACAUAUUCAGACUUUAAUCUUGGAUUUCUUUUUCAACUGAAUUUACAUUUUGCAAACAGAAUGAAAUCAUGACCCAUUUAUGGACAAAAUCGAAAAUGCAAUCAGAUUCAAGUAAAAAUGAAAUCCAAAUUCAGUAAAAUGGGUAAAGAAAUUUUUCAAUCCAAAUUCAGUAAAUGGGUAAC